rnacentral:rRNA from 1 species
GACGAACGCUGGCGGCGUGCUUAACACAUGCAAGUCGAACGGAAAGGCCCUGCUUUUGUGGGGUGCUCGAGUGGCGAACGGGUGAGUAACACGUGAGUAACCUGCCCUUGACUUUGGGAUAACUUCAGGAAACUGGGGCUAAUACCGGAUAGGAGCUCCUGCUGCAUGGUGGGGGUUGGAAAGUUUCGGCGGUUGGGGAUGGACUCGCGGCUUAUCAGCUUGUUGGUGGGGUAGUGGCUUACCAAGGCUUUGACGGGUAGCCGGCCUGAGAGGGUGACCGGCCACAAUGGGACUGGGGUACGGCCCAGACUCCUACGGGAGGCAGCAGGGGGGAAUAUUGCACAAUGGGCGGAAGCCUGAUGCAGCAACGGCGCGUGCGGGAUGACGGCCUUCGGGGUGGAAACCGCUUUCGCCUGUGACGAAGCGGGAGUGACGGUAAUGGGUAAAGAAGCACCGGCUUACUACGUG